rnacentral:rRNA from 1 species
GACGAACGCUGGCGGCGUGCCUAAUACAUGCAAGUAGAACGCUGAAGAGAGGAGCUUGCUCUUCUUGGAUGAGUUGCGAACGGGUGAGUAACGCGUAGGUAACCUGCCUUGUAGCGGGGGAUAACUAUUGGAAACGAUAGCUAAUACCGCAUAACAAUGGAUGACACAUGUCAUUUAUUUGAAAGGGGCAAUUGCUCCACUACAAGAUGGACCUGCGUUGUAUUAGCUAGUAGGUGAGGUAAUGGCUCACCUAGGCGACGAUACAUAGCCAACCUGAGAGGGUGAUCGGCCACACUGGGACUGAGACACGGCCCAGACUCCUACGGGAGGCAGCAGUAGGGAAUCUUCGGCAAUGGGGGCAACCCUGACCGAGCAACGCCGCGUGAGUGAAGAAGGUUUUCGGAUCGUAAAGCUCUGUUGUAAGUCAAGAACGGGUGUGAGAGUGGAAAGUUCACACUGUGACGGUAGCUUACCAGAAAGGGACGGCUAACUACGUG